AUCCAGCCGACGAGUCUUAAAUAGGACAAAGUGCGCGUCCUGGAU
rnacentral:hammerhead_ribozyme from 1 species